AUUGAACGCUGGCGGCAGGCCUAACACAUGCAAGUCGAGCGGAUGAAGGGAGCUUGCUCCUGGAUUCAGCGGCGGACGGGUGAGUAAUGCCUAGGAAUCUGCCUGGUAGUGGGGGAUAACGUCCGGAAACGGACGCUAAUACCGCAUACGUCCUGAGGGAGAAAGUGGGGGAUCUUCGGACCUCACGCUAUCAGAUGAGCCUAGGUCGGAUUAGCUAGUUGGUGGGGUAAAGGCCUACCAAGGCGACGAUCCGUAACUGGUCUGAGAGGAUGAUCAGUCACACUGGAACUGAGACACGGUCCAGACUCCUACGGGAGGCAGCAGUGGGGAAUAUUGGACAAUGGGCGAAAGCCUGAUCCAGCCAUGCCGCGUGUGUGAAGAAGGUCUUCGGAGUGUAAAGCACUUUAAGUUGGGAGGAAGGGCAGUAAGUUAAUACCUUGCUGUUUUGACGUUACCAACAGAAUAAGCACCGGCUAACUUCGUG
rnacentral:rRNA from 1 species